rnacentral:rRNA from 1 species
UACGUAGGUGGCGAGCGUUGUCCGGAUUUAUUGGGCGUAAAGCGCGCGCAGGUGGUGCGGUAAGUCUGUCGUGAAAUCUCCCGGCUCGACUGGGAGGGUGCGGUGGAGACUGCCGGACUGGAGGCACUCAGAGGCCGGUGGAAUUCCCGGUGUAGUGGUGAAAUGCGUAGAGAUCGGGAGGAACACCAGUGGCGAAGGCGGCCGGCUGGGGGUGACCUGACGCUGAGGCGCGAAAGCGUGGGGAGCGAACCGG